rnacentral:lncRNA from 1 species
GACAGACUGCGGCACGCCAGCGAUGGUGAUGGCCCGCUCGGUGGAGUUGGGCAGCAUAUCCCCCGCCACCUGGACCUGCGCCCCCGUACUCUCGCGGAUCUCUUUGAUCUUACACCCGCCUUUCCCAAUCAGGGAGCCGCACUGGGUGGCCGGCACCACCAGCCUCAGGGUGACCGGGGGCCUGCUGGCCGCGGUACUGUUGGUCAUGGAGCUGUUGAUAUCUUCCUCCAGCUUGUCGAUGAUCAUAGCGAAAGCCUUAAAGAUGGCAUUGGUGGGGCCGGUCAGAGUGAUGAUUCUCUCCGGACAAUUCCCCUCCGAGAUGUUGAUCCGCGCGCCACUCUCCUCGCGGAUCCUCUUAACCGACUCCCCUUUCUUCCCAAUGAUGCUUCCUACUUCCUUUCCGUGCAUAAGAAGCCGAAUGAGGAAGACAAACAUAAAGAUGAAGUGCUUAAUUCAAGGUCACACAAUGUCGGGGAUGGACCUCCAGAUUUCCUUACUGGUGAGACGUGGUCUUGUAACACAGUGGUUAAGAAUGUGACUUUGGAGCCAGCCUGCUAGGGGCUGAAUUCUGACUCAGCCAUUUACUAACUGUGUGACCUUAGGGAGGAGGACCUGGUUGAUAGAAGAAUUUAUCUCGUAGUCUUAACAUCCACUGUAAUUCCAAACUUUGAGGACGAUAGAGAUCAGUGGGCUUUGACUGCCCAGCAUGCAGUCUCCAUUCUUAGGUGGGUUCCCAAGCCUGUAAAAUGUAAGCCUUAUGCUGCUGAGGGCCAUCUUGCCACCCUGAGGGAAACGCUGCCUGAGAAUGAAACAAGCAUAAGUAAAAGCUGAGCUGUGAGAUGGAGCAAGAUGAAGGCCACAUGACAUCUUUGGAGCACCUGGAUCUAACUGUGCCUUAAGCUAGUCUAACCCUGAACAUUUCAUCAUUUCAUUGACAUGAGCCCAGGUUUUCUUUUUUUUUGGAUGGAGUCUUGCUCUGUCGCCCAGGCUGGAGUGCAGUAGCUCAAUCUCGGCUCACUGCAA